GUUUCAUGGGCUUGCCAAUAGAAGCAACCGAUGACUCUCCCUCUCCCUCCUUCGCAGGGAUCCUUCACUCCAUUCUCAUCUGAUUCUCUCUCAAAUUCACUUCGAUCGAACCCAUUUGACUAGAAACGGAAAAGGGUAUUCUUAAAUUGAAGCAAACGUCAGAUUUAUCUUCAAAGACUUCAUUUUUUCAGAUAUUGUAAAAAUUGUUGCUGUCAUGGAUCCAGAGGCUGCAAAGACUGCAAGAGACUCUUUGAAUUUGGCAUUUCACAUGUCAAACCUUCUUGAUACAGGACUUGAUCGACACACCCUUUCGGUUCUUAUUGCCCUUUGUGAUUUGGGUUUGAACCCAGAAGCACUUGCUGCUGUUGUGAAAGAACUCCGGAGAGAACCUGUUUCAUCUUCACUGCCAAAUUCUAGUGCUCCGGUAGCUAAACCGUAGUUGGGUAAUGGUUUUGUAAUGAUUUCGGUAGAAUGCAAUGUAAGGUAAUAUGAUGUCUGCUUGUUUGUUGAUCGGAUUUUUUCUUUUUGUAUUGAAAUUCAAAAUGCAGCGAACCACUUGUAUUUUUUUUGCCCUCCCUGACUUGAUGAGUUGUAGAAAUUUGGGUACCAUUUGUAGAGGAGUGGAGAGCUCUGUCUCAAACACAAUUAUGUGCUAAAGAUGGAACUUGUUGUCUAAGCGUCCACUGUACUUUAGUGAUUUCCUCUUGUUAAAGCCUGUGUGUUCCUGACCAAACAUGCGUUUUGAUUGAGUUUAAGUUGUUUCGGUUGUUUCAUUCA